AUUGAUUUCUUUUUUGUCAAUUCUAUGCUUACAAUGAAAGAAUUCAAUUCUUUUCUACUUAAAAAAGAUUUUAUUUUAAAAGAAAUAGAAAUCAAGUGUGAUUGUGUGAAAAUUCAAUUGAACUAUUUUCUUACAAAUGAAUUAUUCCAACCCCCUAUUGGAAACUAUAAUUUUAUAAGAAUUUAAUCUAAUUUAAUUGAUUUAUUUUUGUUCAAU
rnacentral:misc_RNA from 1 species